ACCGCAAAGCAUAUUAAUAAGCGAAGGAAAAGAAACUUAUAAGGAUUUUUUUAGUAACGGCGAGCGAACCGGGAGUAGCCCAACUUUAGAAUCGGGUGCAUCCGUCAUUCGAAUUAUAGUUUGGAGAAGCAUCCUCAGUGGCGGACCGAGCCCAAGUCCCCAGGAGUGGGGUGCCCGAGUGGGUGAGAACCCUGUUUUGCCCAGAACCUGUCUCACCGUAAGACACUGUCUACGAGUCGAGUUCUUUGGGAUUGUAACCCAAAUCUGGCGGUGAAUUUUGUCCAAGGGUAAAUACGGGUGAAAGAUAGAUAGAGAACAAGUAUUGCGAUGGAAAGAUGAAAAGGACUUUCAAAAGGGAGUCAAAAAGUGCUUGAAAUUAUCGGGAAGAAAGAAAAUUGGGGCCAGCAUGCACCUUAUUCGGCUAUGGAACAACGAUGAGCCGGCCCGCCGAUCUACUCGAGGUAUGGACUAGCGUAGAUUGGGGGGUGGCCAAAGCCCAAGCUCUCAAUAUGCUCGUGGAAUGUCGUCUCCUCAAUUAUAGCAGGAAGCGCAUGCCUUUAGUGUGCUUUGGAAUUUGCGUACUCCAGACUCUGGCUUGUGGGUUUCCCAUUUGACCCAUCUUGAAACAUGGACCAAGGAGUCUAAUAUGUGAGUGAUUCAAUGGGUGAGUAAACCCAUAAUACGUAAGGAAGAUAAUUGGAGAAUCCCCUUGAAGGGUGCACCAUCGAUCGACGUUGAUCUUUUAAGAAAGGUUUGAGUCUCAGCAUACCUGUUGGGACCCAAAAGAUGGUAAACUAUGCCUGACCAGGGCAAAGCCAGAGGAAACUCUAGUGGAGGCCCGCAGUGAUACUGACGUGCAAAUCAUUCGUCUGACUUAGGUAUAGGAGCAAAAGACUAAUCGAACCGUCUAGUAGCUGGUUCCCUCCAAAGUAUCCCUCAAAGACAGCUGGAACUCACGUGCGAGUUCUAUUGGGUAAAGCCAAUGAUAAGAGGCCAUGGGGCCCAAUGUCCUUGACCUAUUUCAAACUUUUAAUAAGUUGGACGGCAAAACUUCUUUGUUGAGCUGCCCUAUGGAAUAGAAAGCUCCAAGUGGUCAUUUUUGGUAAGCAGAAUUGGCGAAGCAUGGCGAACCAGUAGUUGGUUUACGGUGCACAACAACGCGCUAACCUAUAUCCCACAAAAGGGUAUUGGUAAAUUAAGAUAGCAGGACAGUGGUCAUUGAAGUCGAAAUCCACUAAGGAAAGUGUAACAACUCACCUGCCGAAUAAACUAGCCCUAAAAAUAGAUGGCUUUUAAGCGCACGACCUACACCCGGCCAUUGGGGCAAGUGCCAAACCCAGAUGUGUCGAAGGGCACGACAGUUACUAUAAAACCUUAGGCUAGAUCCUGGGUGCAGUGGACGUCGGUGUAGAUCUUGGUUGUAGUAGAAAAUAUUAAAAUGAGAACUUUGAAGGCAGGAGAGGGGAAAGGUUCCAUGUGAAUGACACUUUCACAUGGGUUAGUCGAUCCUAAGGUUUGGGGGAACCCUGAUAGAUAACGCUUUUCAUGCGUACUCCAAUAGGCAAUCAGGUUAAAAUUUCUGAACCAGGACAUGGUAGUUGAUGACAAUGUUAAGAUGUCUGGAGCAGUCAGAGGGAGCCUCGGGAAGAGUUAUCUUUUCUGUUUAACAUCCUACCUACACAGGAAUCGGCUCAGCCGGAGGUAGGGUUCAGCAGCUAGAAGAGCACCGCACGUCUCGUGGUGUCCAUUACGCUCCUAGAGGCCCUUGAAAUCUGGAGAACCAAAUGACAUACAUGCCCAGUCAUACUCAUAACCACAUCAGGUAUCCAAGGUGAACAACCUCUAGUUGAUGGAAUAAUGUAGAAAAAUUGAUCCGUAACUUAAGGUAAAGGAUUGGCUAUGAGGCCUGGGCAUGGGGGUCCCAGUCCCAAACCCGUUGGUUGUCGGUGGACUUCUCGAGCUACUCUUACGGUGAGAGUGGGCCGCCGUGUGCUGACCGGUGGAUGAUCUAGGAACGGUUCCUUCGAGGGCCUUCCCUGCGCGUUGAACAACCAACUCAGAGAUGGUACGGACAAGGGGAACCUGACUAUUUAAUUAAAACAAAGCAUCGUGAUGGUCUCAACGGAUGUUCAUGCAAUGUGAUUUCUGCCCAGUACUCUGAAUGUCAAAGAAAAGAAAUUCAACCAAGCGCGGGUAAACGGCGGGAGUAACUAUGACUCUCUUAAAGUAGUCAAAUGUAUCGUUAAUUAAUUAGUGAUGCAUAUUAAUAGAUUAACGAGAUUCCCACUGUCCAUGUCUACUAUCCACCAAAACUACAGCCAAGGGUACGGACUUGGCAGAAUCAGUGGGGAAAGAAGAACCUGUUAAGAUUGACUCUAGUCUGACUUUGUGAAAUUACUUGAGAGGUGUAGUGUAAGUGGGAGCCAAAGAUGAAAAUGAAAUACCACUACUUUUAACGUUAUUUUAAUUAUUUUGUGUAUCGAUAGUGGGGCACUACCUCUCAUUUUUGACACAAGGCUCGCUCUACGGGCUGAUCUGGGUGGAAUACAUUAUCAGGUGAGGAGUUUGGCUACGGCGGCACAUCUGUUAAAAGAUAAUGCAGGAAUCCUAAGACAAGCUCAACUAUGACAAAAAACUAGUGUGGAACAAAAGUGUAAAAGCUUGUUUGAUUUUGAUUUCCAGUAUGAAUAAGAACCGUGAAAGUGUGGCCUAACAAAUCUUUAGACCUUCGGAAUUCAAAGUUAGAGGUAUCAGAAAAGUUACCACAGAGAUAACAGGCUUGUGGCAGCCAAGCGUUCAUAGCGAUGUUGAUUUUUUAUCCUUUGAUGUCGGCUCUUCCUAUUAUUGUGUAGUAGAAUUCACCAAGUAUUGGAUUGUUCACCCACCAAUAGGGAACAUGAGCUGGGUUUACACCAUCAUGAUAUAGGUUAGUUUUAACCUACUUAUAAUAGUGUUGCAAUAGUAAUUCAACCUAGUACGAGAGGAACCAUUGAUUUACAUAAUUGGUCAUCGGGCUUUGUUGAAAAGCCAGUAGCACGAAGAUACCGUGUGCUGUAUUAUUACUGAAUGCCUCUAAGUCAGAAUCUAGGAUAGAAGAGAUACAUGCACCCUCCGUCCACUUGCCAAUCUACAGUAGGGGCCUCGUCCCCCAAGGGCACGUGUCGUUGGAUAAUCCAUCAUGGUGGAAGGGUCAUGGUGGCCACCUUUAAGUACAUUUUUCAUCAAAAAUGGGUAGAAUCCUUU
rnacentral:rRNA from 1 species